GUGAGGAAUUUUCCACAAUGGGCGAAAGCCUGAUGGAGCGACGCCGUGUGUGCGAUGAAGUCCUUCGGGAUGUAAAGCACUGUCAGUGGGGACGAUAUUGACUGUACCCACAGAGGAAGGCCCGGCUAACUACGUGCCAGCAGCCGCGGUAAUACGUAGGGGCCAAGCGUUGUCCGGAAUCAUUGGGCGUAAAGGGCGUGUAGGCGGCCCGGUAAGUCGGAUGUUAAAUCUACAGGCUCAACCUGUAGCCGCAUCCGAUACUGCCAGGCUAGAGAAUGGUAGAGGAAAGCGGAACUUUCGGUGUAGCGGUGAAAUGCGUAGAUAUCGAAAGGAACACCAGUGGCGAAGGCGGCUUUCUGGGCCAUUUCUGACGCUGAGACGCGAAAGCCAGGGGAGCAAACGGGAUUAGAAACCCGGGUAGUCC
rnacentral:rRNA from 1 species